UACGAAGGGGGCUAGCGUUGUUCGGAUUUACUGGGCGUAAAGCGCACGUAGGCGGAUCGUUAAGUCGGGGGUGAAAUCCUGGAGCUCAACUCCGGAACUGCCUUUGAUACUGGCGAUCUUGAGAUCGGAAGAGGUGAGUGGAAUUCCCAGUGUAGAGGUGAAAUUCGUAGAUAUUGGGAAGAACACCAGUGGCGAAGGCGGCUCACUGGUCCGAUACUGACGCUGAGGUGCGAAAGCGUGGGGAGCAAACAGG
rnacentral:rRNA from 1 species